rnacentral:lncRNA from 1 species
UUGUUUGGAAGUGAUUUGGGCUAUACUUGCCCUACAAAAAAUUCCCUCCCAUAAUUUUCAAGCCCGCCCUCUCACUAAAUUUUUACUCCCUCAGAUUAGAAAAUACAUUCAUUCAAGCCCUAUCUCCCUCAAUCGCGCCUCAGUAGUGCCCUAUCUCCCUCAAUCGUACCCUUUCUUCUUCAAUUGUCCCUACCCUCAGCGGCGCCUCCCCUCACUUGUGCCUCCCUACUAGUCGUCUCCCCUCUAAUUUCUCUCCAACUCAUUCGCUUACCCUCUAUUAGUUCUCCAAAUCAGUCGCGGACAUCCAAAUCCAAUCCCUAUGAAUAUGUUGAAGCUAAGUUGAAAGUUUGGCGACUUCAACGAAGCAACUACAGAUUCUCUACAAUUGUACUUUUGGGUUUGUUCUCAAUCCCUUUAUGUUUUCACGGGUUUGGUCUUUUUCUGUUUAAUUUGUUGUUGGUAUGCAGUAAUUCGAUUAAUUCUUCAAUCAUUUUGUUUGUGAGAUAUUUUAUAUUUUUAUUUAAUCUUCCUUUUUGUGUGUGUUUUUCAAGAACCACAUUUUUACAUAUGAAGUUUUGUUCUUGAUUGUUUGCCCUUUUUCCUUAAAACAUUAAUGUUUUAAAUCUAAUUUUGUAUUUUGUUGAAAACUAAUGUCUGAACUAGUAUAUGCUUCUACUGUUUCAAUGGUACCUUUCCCCCCUUCUUAGUCCUUUUAAUUAGCUCUUCCGAGGGCGAAAACGGAAGCAAAAUGUGGUAUUGAUUAGUUUCUACAGUGACAAUAUCUUUUUUGCUCUGUAAAUUAAUCUCUUGCUCUAGACUUCUGAUCUAGAGAGUUUAAAGGUUAUUAUAUUGUUUAUGUUAUUAUAUUCUAUUAAGCAAAUUCUUUAUGUUGAAUGUAUCUUAGGGUAGUUAACAACAUGAAAAUAGUGUAAUUGCUGAAAGUUUUCUAAUGCUUUUGCUAUGAUGAUUACUCUAUUGACGACAUACUCAUAUUUACAUUGAAGAUGUUUUGGUUUCGUGCAAACACUUGUUCUUGAUUAUAAUAUAAACUAUACUCACCUCAGAUUCUGAAAAUGUUAAAUAGGUAUAAAUGAUUUCUACAAGAUGCAUUGCAUGUGUAAAUAUUAUUGAUCUAAGUGAUUAUGAGUUUCUCAUUAGUGUUAGUUCACUUGCAGAUACAGAAUAUUAUGGAAACAUAAUUAUAGAUUGUGAAAUCAUAUACUAGUUUCUGAAUUACUGCUAUUAUUCUCAGAAAAAAUCAUUAAAACUAUGAUAUUUGGCACAUGAAAGUUUGGAACGGCUAGGAUCUUGAGGACCAAUAGAAAUCUAAAUAAUGUUCAUUUAUUGGUAGCGAAAUUUGAUUAAUGUAAUCAUUCAUGCUUGUUCUAAUCUGUGUUGGUUAGUAUUAACAUAUCUGAGUUUUUUUCCGCUUAAUAUUGUUUUACAUAAUUAUAUCCACAUGUAGCAUUCUUGGCACAUUAAACUGGUUCAUGAGGACUGACUCAUGUGCACCAAAUUUUUUUCCUUCUCUUAAUAAUGUAGCUGGUAACAUUAAAAUUUAAUGUUGGCUUUCCAUGCCAAGAAAAGAGAAAUGUAAAAGAUUGAAUAAUUUAUUUAUGAAUUCUAUUGCAACAUGUUCAUUACUUCUGUGAAGAGCAGUUCAUUAUUUCAAUAUAGUUGAGGUGAAGAGUAGUUCUGAUGGUUUCAUGAUCAAAAUGAGAGAUGGUCGACAUUUAAGAUGUGACCAUACCAACCCUCAGGGACUAUUCUUCAUCAUCGACUUUUCUUGUAGGACUCAAUUAUGAAGGGGAGGAACUUAUCUCGCUGACCUGGGUAUGUUCUGCCCUUACCACUUAAAAAUUCCCAAGUUAUCAAUAAAUGUGUCUUUUUCCAAUGUCUGCUAUAACAUGUUGAAUUCUUGGUAAAUAAAUCUAUGAUGUCUUGUGAUUAUAGCUAGCAUCUUUGGGGCAUAUACUGUAUGGAAAUUUGUCGUCUCAAGAAAAGUUUUUCUACAUUGACUAAUAGCCUCAACUUUUCCAUAAUUGUUGUCCUUUCUAUAUAGAAAUCUAAACAUUGUUAUUUAAGAUUGUGUGAUGCUUGUGGUUGUUGAAUGUGACUGAAUUUUGACUUGAGGUCAACAUAUAAUAAUAAUCUACAACUCUUGUAACAGAAAAUAUGUUUACCACUAUGCUUACUGAAAUUAAUUCAUGAAAUGGCCGAUUAAGAUUCCAAUUUUUUCUUGUAACAAAACAAUCAUAUAGUCGCACUGAAGGUUCUUUUUCUAUUUGGAUUUGUAGAAAAUGAUAUUGUGAUUGCCUAUUUGUCUUUUUCUGCUUAUGAGCAAUACAGUGUACAUUAGUACCACGUAGCAACUCCAUUGUCUUUGUGUAUUGAUUUUGGCACUAAGUGCCUCUGGUGACUUAUUUGGUUCAUUUUCUUGACUUGCUAUUAUUUUUAAAUAUGUGCAGGAAGAUUGCUUAUACAACCUGUCUUACUAUACUGGGUAUCAAAUUUCUGUGCUACGUUUACGGAAGACAAGAGACAAAAUUAUGAAGUGUAAUAUCUUUAUAUAUGUAGAUAUAUACUUUGAUUGAAGAACUGUGGUAGCUUUAGAUGGUUAAUUGUAAAGAUAAUGAAUGAUUAUGUAGUGGAUGAUUUUAUUAAGUUAAUAAUAUUUUAGUUUUUUGUAUUUUUGCCAUUAUUUUCUAUGGGGACAUUGAGCCAGCUAGGUACACAAAAAGAAUGCCA